UUUCCGGUUGAUCCCGCCGGACCUGACUGCUAUCGGAUUGAUACUAAGCCAUGCGAGUCGUUGUAGCAAUACAAGGCAGACGGCUCAGUAACGCGUAGUCAACCUAACCUAUGGACGGGAAUAAUCUCGGGAAACUGAGAAUAAUGCCCGAUAGAACAUUAUGCCUGGGAUGGUUUAUGUUCCAAAUGAUUUAUCGCCGUAGGAUGGGACUGCGGCCUAUCAGUUUGUUGGUGAGGUAAUGGCCCACCAAGACUAUUACAGGUACGGGCUCUGAGAGGAGUAGCCCGGAGAUGGGUACUGAGACACGGACCCAGGCCCUAUGGGGCGCAGCAAGCGAGAAAACUUUGCAAUGUGCGAAAGCACGACAAGGUUAAUCCGAGUGGUUUCUGCUAAAGGAACCUUUUGUCAGUCCUAGAAACACUGAUGAAUAAGGGGUGGGCAGGUUCUGGUGUCAGCCGCCGCGGUAAAACCAGCACCUCAAGUGGUCAGGAUGAUUAUUGGGCCUAAAGCAUCCGUAGCCUGCUUUGUUAGUUUUCGGUUAAAUCUGUACGCUCAACGUACAGGCUGCCGGGAAUACUGCAAAGCUAGGGAGUGGGAGAGGUAGACGGUACUCGGUAGGAAGGGGUAAAAUCCUUUGAUCUAUUGAUGACCACCUGUGGCGAAGGCGGUCUACCAGAACACGUCCGACGGUGAGGGAUGAAAGCUGGGGGAGCAAACCGGAUUAGAUACCCGGGUAGUCCCAGCCGUAAACCAUGCAAACUCAGUGAUGCAUUGGCUUGUGGCCAAUGCAGUGCUGCAGGGAAGCCGUUAAGUUUGCCGCCUGGGAAGUACGUACGCAAGUAUGAAACUUAAAGGAAUUGGCGGGGGAGCACCACAAGGGGUGAAGCCUGCGGUUCAAUUGGAUUCAACGCCGGA
rnacentral:rRNA from 1 species